rnacentral:lncRNA from 1 species
UCGCACAUCGUUCUGCGUUCGCUCUCCAAUCGGAGAUCUUUUGCAUCAUCGUCCAUCGUCCACCGAUUUUGUCUUCGCUAGUUUUUUCCUACUUGUCACCCAUCUAUUUUGCAUAGUUUCCUAAUUUCUAUGCUCCUUUCUGCACGUACAAUUCUUUUUUCUUUUUUCUUAUUGGUUCUGCGAAUAAUGGAAUCUAAGUUUUUUGUAAUAAUGUGCUUCAUAUAAAUGACGAAUAUCUUUUUAAAAAUCUAUCUGCUCUAUCAUGAAUUCGUAAGUGUGUAUUAUUCGUUGCCACGUAUAUUGGUAUGCGAGCGAAUUGUCGAGUGUUUGGUGACGUGUUAAAAUGCGGCCAUUUCCACCGGCCAUGAACGAGAUAGAGAGCGUGCUGCGUGAGAUAGAGAGUGAGAGAGAAACAGGGAGCAUAUGCGUGUGAGAGAAACAAAGAAAGAGCUUAAAAGACAUCGAUAUUUUAAAUAAGUUUAUAACUCCGAAUUUCGCAAAUUCAUCAUCAAACACAGCAUGUUUGCGAAAAAGACAGAUUUACGGAUUUCUCGAUAUUUUUAUCAAAAUCUGCUUUCUUUCAAUUCACUUCUUUUUCUUCUUCUUCUUGUUCUUCUUCUUCAUCAUCAUCUUUUUUCUUCUUCUUCUGCUUCUUUUAUCCUAGUUGAAGCAGCAUGAAUUCAGAGAUUGAAAAAAAGAACGAUUGCCGAUUGUCAUACGUUCAGGUGCUGGAGGGUUAAUUCGAUUGGGAUUUUUGUGGAAAGUUUUUCGUUACAUAUUUCUGGAAAUAGUGAAACGCGCAAUUAAAGGAAAAAUAAAUUAAAAAACGAUAAAAAGAAAAAAAUAACAAAAAUCAGAUUUCUUAGUAUCCGGGGUACAAAUCGCGUCGAGAAAAAAUUUGGAGUCGCGACUGUCACGCGUGCCGGCUAUUGCUAGUUCAGGCCCGCAUAUCAGUUAAUCUUGCAGUCUUUUGAUUUCAAUUCUUCAAGAAGAAUAGUGAUUCAACAGUUUUUUUGGUGAUGUCGACCGAUAUUCGAUAGAAGAAAUGGCGAUUGAUGUGGCGAAAAGAAAUGAGGAAACGUCACGUAACAGUGGUGCGCUGCCGGCUAACCUGUCGGUUAACCUCUUUCUCGCUGCUCACCGGAAGAGACGAACACGUGCACUUCAGUCAGAUUGUUAAUAGCUGACUCUUGGUCAACGAAGGGAACCAUCGGUAGCCGAAUAAACCUUGAAAAAAAAAAUCUACAACAGUAUUUGCAAGAAAAACUGAAACGUGACACAAACGUUCUUCCGCUGUAAAUGAUAAACGCGCAGUGUCUCUCAACUCGAAUACUUGUAUCAGUAAUAACGAAUAAACUUAAUUAAAGAAGACAAACGAGAAAUUCAUUUCACUGAUCGUAUUUACGCGAAUGUGUGUGUAUGUGUGUGUGUGUGUGUAUGCGCGUGCGUGUGCGUAGGCUUACGUGUAUAACAUUCAUCCAUUUCGUUAUUCGAAUUACCUAUCCUUUUAUGGUAUUUCUUUACCAUAACGUUAUGAUAUAUUUACGAUCAUUUGAAAACCUAAGAACGUUCUAUCUAGAUUUAAAAACAUUAAAAAAAAAAAAAAAUGUUUUACGACGGUCACCUCAACUGGCAUAUCGGCGACUGUAGGAACGCGCCGUUUAAAUUGAUCCUGUUCAACCUUGACUCGAUAGCUUUCAAGUUAUUUUCACGUUGCUUAAUGGGCUCGACCGAGGACGUCGGGCCUUUCGGUGUUCAUCACGCUCGAAACUCUCCGUUUUGCAGUUCACCGUGUACAGUUCGCAAGCGCGA